UCCCGCCUACGGGGGGCAGCAGUGGGGAAUAUUGCACAAUGGGGGAAACCCUGAUGCAGCAACGCCGCGUGAGUGAAGAAGUAUUUCGGUAUGUAAAGCUCUAUCAGCAGGGAAGAGAAUGACGGUACCUGACUAAGAAGCCCCGGCUAACUACGUGCCAGCAGCCGCGGUAAUACGUAGGGGGCGAGCGUUAUCCGGAUUUACUGGGUGUAAAGGGAGCGUAGACGGUUCUGCAAGUCAGAAGUGAAAUCCAUGGGCUUAACCCAUGAACUGCUUUUGAAACUGCAGAGCUUGAGUGGAGUAGG
rnacentral:rRNA from 1 species